CCUACGGGAGGCAGCAGUGGGGAAUAUUGGGCAAUGGGCGCAAGCCUGACCCAGCAAUGCCGCGUGAAGGAAGAAGGCUUUCGGGUUGUAAACUUCUUUGACAGGGGAAGAGCAGAAGACGGUACCCUGAAAACAAGCCACGGCUAACUACGUGCCAGCAGCCGCGGUAAUACGUAGGUGGCAAGCGUUGUCCGGAUUUACUGGGUGUAAAGGGCGUGUAGCCGGGAAGGCAAGUCAGAUGUGAAAUCUGGAGGCUCAACCUCCAAAUUGCAUUUGAAACUGUUUUUCUUGAGUACUGGAGAGGCAGACGGAAUUCCUUGUGUAUCGGUGAAAUGCGUAGAUAUACGCAGGAACUCCGGUGGCGACGGCGGUCUGCUGGACAGCAACUGACGGUGAGGCGCGAAAGCGUGGGGAGCAAACAGGAUUAGAUACCCCAGUAGUC
rnacentral:rRNA from 1 species